AACGAACGCUGGCGGCAUGCCUAACACAUGCAAGUCGAACGAGACCUUCGGGUCUAGUGGCGCACGGGUGCGUAACGCGUGGGAACCUGCCCUUAGGUUCGGAAUAACUCCCCGAAAGGGGUGCUAAUACCGGAGAAUGUCUUCGGACCAAAGAUUUAUCGCCUUUGGAUGGGCCCGCGUUGGAUUAGCUAGUUGGUAGGGUAAAAGCCUACCACGACGACGAUCCAUAGCUGGUCUGAGAGGAUGAGCAGCCACACUGGGACUGAGACACGGCCCAGACUCCUACGGGAGGCAGCAGUGGGGAAUAUUGGACAAUGGGCGAAAGCCUGAUCCAGCAAUGCCGCGUGAGUGAUGAAGGCCUUAGGGUUGUAAAGCUCUUUUACCCGGGAUGAUAAUGACAGUACCGGGAGAAUAAGCUCCGGCUAACUCCGUG
rnacentral:rRNA from 1 species